GACGAACGCUGGCGGCGUGCUUAACACAUGCAAGUCGAACGAUGAAGCCGGAGCUUGCUCUGGUGAAUUAGUGGCGAACGGGUGAGUAACACGUGAGUAACCUGCCCUUGACUCUGGGAUAACUGCGGGAAACUGUAGCUAAUACCGGAUACGACCCUCGGAGGCAUCGCCAGGGGGUGGAAAGAAUUUCGGUCAAGGAUGGACUCGCGGCCUAUCAGCUAGUUGGUGAGGUAACGGCUCACCAAGGCGACGACGGGUAGGCGGCCUGAGAGGGUGACCGGCCACACUGGGACUGAGACACGGCCCAGACUCCUACGGGAGGCAGCAGUGGGGAAUAUUGCACAAUGGGCGCAAGCCUGAUGCAGCAACGCCGCGUGAGGGAUGACGGCCUUCGGGUUGUAAACCUCUUUUAGUAGGGAAGAAGCGAAAGUGACGGUACCUGCAGAAAAAGCACCGGCUAACUACGUGCCAGCAGCCGCCGUAA
rnacentral:rRNA from 1 species